rnacentral:rRNA from 1 species
AAGACCUUGCGCUUUUGGAGCGGCCGAUGCCUGCUUAGCUUGUUGGUAAGGUAAAAGCUUACCAAGGCUUCGAUCAGUAGCUGGUCUGAGAGGACGACCAGCCACACUGGGACUGAGACACGGCCCAGACUCCUACGGGAGGCAGCAGUGGGGAAUUUUAGACAAUGGGGGCAACCCUGAUCCAGCCAUGCCGCGUGAGUGAAGAAGGCCUUCGGGUUGUAAAGCUCUUUCAGCCGGAACGAAACGGUUACGGUUAAUACCCGUGACUACUGACGGUACCGGAAGAAGAAGCACCGGCUAACUACGUGCCAGCAGCCGCGGUAAUACGUAGGGUGCGAGCGUUAAUCGGAAUUACUGGGCGUAAAGCGUGCGCAGGUGGUUUUGUAAGUCAGAUGUGAAAGCCCCGGGCUCAACCUGGGAACU